AGCAGAGCCGCGGUAAUACGUAGGUCCCGAGCGUUGUCCGGAUUUAUUGGGCGUAAAGCGAGCGCAGGCGGUUAGAUAAGUCUGAAGUUAAAGGCUGUGGCUUAACCAUAGUAUGCUUUGGAAACUGUUUAACUUGAGUGCAGAAGGGGAGAGUGGAAUUCCAUGUGUAGCGGUGAAAUGCGUAGAUAUAUGGAGGAACACCGGUGGCGAAAGCGGCUCUCUGGUCUGUAACUGACGCUGAGGCUCGAAAGCGUGGGGAGCAAACAGGAUUAGAUACCCGCGUAGUCCCUGUCUCUUAUACAC
rnacentral:rRNA from 1 species